CGUCCGCGUGGUGCUGUGGUCAGUGGUCAGGUCACGCCGAGUGUGCGGCAGAUUGCGCCUGUGUUUGAGCUGGCCUGGGUCACCUGUGGCCACCUGGCGGACUGGCGGCGCCUCCCUGGCCUCACCUGAGGGCGUGCAGGACAGCAGUGGCGAGACGGCAAGACCCCACCAGCAAGUCCAUUCUGCCCCAGAGCCCCUCGGGUCAGUGGCCGGCAAGUCCUCCCGUCCAUUCUGCCCCAGAGCCCCUCGGCCAGGUCCCACUGCAAGAUGGCGUCGUCCUUCCCCCCGCUGACCAGCAAGGAACCCUCGCUGGGGUGCCACUCCACGGUGCUGACCGGCGCUGAGUGGUGCUUCAGCUCUGCCACAGCCCGCGUCACUUCAACUACAGCCUUUGCAAUGUAGAAAAUGUUGUUAACCUGUCACCAGAACCACAAAAACACCCUUAAAAACCCGUGUCACUUCAACUACAGCCUUUGCAAUGUAGAAAUGUUGUUAAUCUGUCACCAGAACCACAAAAACACCCUUAAAAACCCGUGUCACUUCAACUACAGCCUUUGCAAUGUAGAAAUGUUGUUAAUCUGUCACCAGAACCACAAAAACACCCUUAAAAACCCGUGUCACUUCAACUACAGCCUUUGCAAUGUAGAAAUGUUGUUAAUCUGUCACCAGAACCACAAAAACACCCUUAAAAACCCGCGUCACUUCAACUACAGCCUUUGCAAUGUAGAAAUGUUGUUAAUCUGUCACCAGAACCACAAAAACACCCUUAAAAACCCGCGCCACUUCAACUACAGCCUUUGGAAUGUAGAAAUUUUGUUAAUCUUUCACCAGAACCACAAAAACACCCUUAAAAACCCGCGUCACUUCAACUACAGCCUUUGCAAUGUAGAAAUGUUGUUAAUCUGUCACCAGAACCACAAAAACACCCUUAAAAACCCGUGUCACUUCAACUACAGCCUUUGCAAUGUAGAAAUGUUGUUAAUCUGUCACCAGAACCACAAAAACACCCUUAAAAACCCGCGUCACUUCAACUACAGCCUUUGCAAUGUAGAAAUGUUGUUAAUCUGUCACCAGAACUGUAGUCGCAGCGGCUGGGCAUGAGUUGGCUCUCAGGUGAUCUGUUUUACCAAUCACACCAUCAUCGUAGGGUAGAGGAGAGGCAGUUCUCCCUGACACGUUUAUUGAUGAGGUAGGCACGACCGUAACAACUGCGGACAAGUUCUCUGUCUCAAUUUCUUACAAGAUAACGUUACACGCUGAUAUUAAACACUUUCAACAUAUUACAGUAUUCAUUAACAAUACAUGCAGUCAACUUGGCACUAUGACAAGCAGUUUUUACCACAAAAUUAAAGUAUUUACCUCGGUCACCAUCCUGCCCGUCUUUGUCUGAGCGCGACUUGGCCGUGAGUGAUGCCCGCAGGCGACCAGCAGGUUAACCCCACACUACCAACAAGUGAGCAUCGGCUUUGUGCUCAAUAUAGCACUGAAUACUGAUACUCACACAUGUUACACGUUUUCAUGCAAAUAGAAGACUAUUGAACAUUUCACUUAUAAAUGCCGAGGAAUAAUGACGUGAGGUACAAACGCUUUACGUACAGUAACACAGUCCAUUUACCAGGCUUUACUACUGCUUCCUUUCUUCAGUAUUACCAAAGUUUACUCAGCUGAACCUUUUAUUUCAAAGUGAAAGAGUGGUCAUAACUGAAUUGCACAGGCAGGUUUGUAAUUUAUAUAAAGAAUUGCUACUGAUGUACAUGAACCAUGAAUACAUUGUGAAAACCAUGCUUUCAAAAGUUGAUCCAAGAUAUCAACGUGAGUUCCUGAUGCUAGAGCAGGUGUAUUUGGGUGCAUCUGUCUUAAAAACAGUAACAGACAAUCCAGAAUUAAGCAAGCAAAAAAAGGAAAUGUACGAGUUUGGCUUCCACUGCAGAUUAUUUUUGAUAGUAGCAGCAGAACAGAUCAGGAAGAGAUUUCAUUUCUGAGAUGAAGAAGUCCUUUCAAGAAUGCACAUGCUGGAGCCAGCCAGUGUUCUAGGCAUCCAGGGCAAAGUGCAAGAGCAAAGUGUGGUGCCCCUCGCGACACACCUUCCCCGAAUCAUUGCCCAGGAUGAUUCUACCCUCCAGCAACUGGACGAUGAGUGGAAGAGGCUUGCCGUAGAAGAUCUGCCUGAAUCCAUUACCAACAUGGCGAAAAAAGUGGACAAAAGCAAUUACAACCAGCCUGAUAAAUUUUGGUGUGCCAUAAAAACUCUGGAGGAUAGUGAUGGAAACCCCAAGUUUAAGCUUGUUUCAGACUUUUCACUAGGAUGUCUUUCUUUGCCUCAUGCUAAUGCUGACUGUGAGUGCUGCUUCUCUAGUGUAAACCGUGUGAAAACAAAAGACAGAAAUAAGCUAAUAACAGAAACCGUAAGAGACAUGAUCCUAGCGAAGCAGUGUGUUGCGUCCACAUCCAGCAGUGACUGUACGACCUUCAAGCCAUCAAUCAAAGUCAAUGAUAAAAAACAUGACAUCAAGAGUGCUAUAUUCCUCCAAUGAAGAGAGUGCCGGGGCUGCUGACGACGUGCCCCAUGUAUAUAUAGAAGAACAAGACCACUAAUCUCCUACAUACAUCAAGAUCAAGAUCAAGUCUGGUGGAGGGAACAGAGGCGGCGUCCGCGUGGUGCUGUGGUCAGUGGUCAGGUCACGCCGAGUGUGCGGCAGAUUGCGCCUGUGUUUGAGCUGGCCUGGGUCACCUGUGGCCACCUGGCGGACUGGCGGCGCCUCCCUGGCCUCACCUGAGGGCGUGCAGCAGUGGCGAGACGGCAAGACCCCACCAGCAAGUCCAUUCUGCCCCAGAGCCCCUCGGGUCAGUGGCCGGCAAGUCCUCCCGUCCAUUCUGCCCCAGAGCCCCUCGGGUGUCUACUGCCUCCUCCUACAAAGGCUGGCAAGUCCUCCCAUCCACUCUGCCCCAGAGCCCCUCAGGUCAGUGGCCGGCCACUCAGAACGCUGCACCACUGCUGUCAACACUUGGUUCUUUGUCACAAGUUACCACCAACAAAAACUGAUUUGCUCGCUCUUUGCACGGCUGUGGUGGCCCGCACAGAGUCAGUUGUUGUGUGGCGGCCCUACUCUGUAUGGAGGCUGUGUGUUAGGCUGAGGCUGAGGCAGGAAGCCUCUUGCUGCCUGCGUGGUGACGGCCUCCUCUGUUACAGGUGCCAGGUGUAUCUUGUCUGUGGAGGCUGUGUGUUAGGCUGAGGCUGAGGCAGGAAGCCCCUCGCUGCCUGUGUGG